GACUGUGCUAAGGUAGCAUAAUAACUUGCCUUUUAAUUGAAGGCUAGCAUGAACGGGUUAACUUGAGCUAAUCUGUCUCUUUAUGAUUUUAUAAAUUUAAGUUUUAAGUGAAAACGCUUAAAUAGUUUAGAGGGACGAGAAGACCCUUCAGAUCUUUCCCAACAAGGAAUGAAAGUUCAAUUUCAUCUUUGAGGGUUACCUGGGAGGGGGUUUAAAUAAUAAACUUUAAUUAAUAAUUUAAAGACAUAGUAAUUAAUCGUCUAAUUUGUUGAUCCUCAUAGGACAGUUUGACAAGAUACCUGAGGGAUAACAGCGUAA
rnacentral:rRNA from 1 species